GCAUCAUAAUACCCUGUGACACCUCUCUCUCCUCUCCUCUCCUCUCCUCCCUCCUUCUUUCUCCUUCUUUCUUCUUCCUUCUUCUUUUUCUUUCUUCUUCCUUCUUUUUCUUUCUCUUUUUCUCCUUUUUCUUCUCCUUUUUCUUUCUUUUCUUUUUCUUUUCUUCUUUUCCUUUUCUUCUUCUUCUCCUUUUCUUCUUCAUCUUCGUCUUUGUCUUCUUCUUCCUCCUCCUCCUCCUCCUCCUCCUUCUUCUUCUUCUUUUCUCUCUCUCUCUCUCUCUCUCUCUCUCUCUCUCUCUCUCUCUCUCUCUCUCUCGGCACAGAGCAUGUUUCUCUAACAAUUAGAAGACUAUGGCAGACCAGCAAAAGUGAAUCUGUGUGUCCUUAUGAAACGUGAUCUGGUGUUAAGUCACUGUCUCACCACUACAGUGUCGCACGUCAGCAAUAAUGUCACCAAAUGAAGCUGCCUUAUUUGCAAUCCUGAGAAUAAAGGACAUCUAACAUCCCAAAGGGUCUCUUCGGAACCCCCCCAUCUCAUCCCUACUGCUCCUGCCUCUGAGUCUGGAGGCAUAGUGUAGAGGUUAAGAGCACUGACUGCUCUUCCAGAGAUCCUGAGUUCAAUUCCCAGCAACCAUAUGGUGGCUCACAACGUCUUCAUUUAAAAAACACAAAACAAAACAAAACAAAACAAAACAAAACAAACAAACCUGAGGUUCUAGGUGCCAGGGAGAUAGUUCAGUCCGUAAGGUUUGAUCCCCAGAGUCCAAACUUAAAAGGCAGACGUGAUACCAUAUGCUUGUAGUUGCAGCCGAGUCGAGACAGACAUGGGUGGAUUCCUGGAGCUCAGUGACCAGUCAGCCAGGUCUGCUCAGGGGCUCCAGGUCAGGGAGGGACCCUGCCUAAAGCAACCCAACAAAGUAGACAGUCUCCGAGGAAUAACACCCAUGGUGCUCUCUGCCUCAUGCCACAUGUUCACAUGUCAAACAUGCACAUGCACACACACACACACACACACACACACACACACACACACACACUGAAGCUGAGAGCAGAAAGCUAGACAUUUAGGCUCUACCUGCAGUCAACUACCACGUCCCACCCAGCUUCCCUUAACUGUUGAAACUUUAAAAAACAAAAAAACAAAAAAAAACUCCUUUUCCC
rnacentral:lncRNA from 1 species